rnacentral:misc_RNA from 1 species
GAUGAAGAACGUAGCGAAAUGCGAUACUUGGUGUGAAUUGCAGAAUCCCGUGAACCAUCGAGUCUUUGAACGCAAGUUGCGCCCGAAGCCACUAGGCCGAGGGCACGCCUGCCUGGGCGUCACACGCCGUUGCCCCCCCAUCUACUCCUUCGGGAUUGCGGGGGGGCGGAUGAUGGCCUCCCGUGCGCCUAGCCGCGCGGUUGGCAUAAAUACCAAGUCCUCGGCGACGCACGCCACGACAAUCGGUGGUUGCGAAACCUCGGUUGCCCGUCGUGUGCGUUCGUCGCGCAUCGAGGGCUCGAAAAAAUGCUCGGCUCCGGCUGGGCUUUCAACGCGACCCCAGGUCGGGCGGGGUUACCCGCUGAAUUUAAGCAUAUCAAUAAGCGGAGGA